GCGUUUGCUUGUGCAUUUGCAUGCACGUCUCUUGGUAUUACCUCAACUAUUAGCUAUGGUUGAAAGAAGUUGGGCGAAGUAGUUACACGGUGCAACUUGCGCAAUGGUUUAUUGCUGCGUACCGCUCUGCAAAUCAAGCGGGCGCACGGCCGCAUCACGAGGAAUAUCGUUCCACGAGUUCCCGAUCACGGAUGUGCGGAACCUGUGGCUGAAGAACAUUCAUCUUGCUCUUAAUGUGAUGCAGUCUGUUGAAGAUGCUGGCUUUCGAGUGGUUCGUCUUGUUGGAGACAAUCACAAGUCGAACACGAAGUUUUUUUCAAGCUUGUCAGGGGGGCAGAUACAGCCUGUUGUAGAGUAAGUGCAGGGAUCUUAUGAAGUCACAUCUGAUUGGGUGAAGUGCCAGCCUUGCCUGUCGAGCCUGUCAAGCAAGCUGCUACUGGCACGGACAUCCGGAAGCUCCUGCUGCCUCACCUAGCUACACUGGAACGCUACCCAUGUCCUCCACAGCAGAGUCUGCGGUCCAGUACGUUGGCACUGAUAGCCGGUUUCCUCGUCCGGGCCAUUCAGGAUAACAUUGAAUGCGAGGGCUGCCUGGUGAAGCUACAAGCUCUAUCUUCCAGCUCCCCAACCACAGCCCUCAUUGCUGGCAUCGACAGGGGAGGCCUCUCCUAUCCCACCUUACCAUUUGUGGGAUUUGUCCACCACCUGGAGCAAGCUGCCUCCCGAGUGGCUUCCGUGCUUGUAAAGGGACCUCAGCCGCUCAAGAAGUUCUCGGCCGUCGUGUUACCUUCACUUCUGAAGAGCCCACUUUUUGAUUGUGCCGAGGACAAAAGUGUGCCACACAAAACAAAGCUGGUCAGCGUAAUUCUGCAGAAAUUCAUGAGGCCAUUUUUGUCUAACACCGCCAAUGGCCUCACAGUGUCCAACGCCAAGAAAAAGGCACUCAAAACGAAACCCACCUCGCGAAAGGUGCUGAAGGUCUAAUUCUGAAGGCCAGACUGUCUCUAAAUGUGCUCGUGAUUCAGUGUGUCAUUUAACGAAUAAAACAUUUGGCAAGUUGUGA